rnacentral:lncRNA from 1 species
GGAGCUGGGCAUCCGGCCUGAGGCGCAGCGGUCGCGUUAGUUCGGCCCAAUGGCGGCACCGCUGCUUCACACGUUGUUUGUCGGGAGAUGCGGCCGCUUCGUCCUCUGCAGUCAAGACGCUGGGCGCGUCGAGGACUGGGGUGAAACAAAUGACUUUGAGUUGUUGAAGAACCAGCUGUUAGAUCCAGACAUAAAGGAUGACCAGAUCAUCAACUGGCUGCUAGAAUUCCGUUCUUCUGUCAUGUACUUGACAAAAGACUUUGAGCAACUUAUCAGUAUUAUAUUGAGAUUGCCUUGGUUGAAUAGAAGUCAAACAGUAGUGGAAGAGUAUUUGGCUUUUCUUGGUAAUCUUGUAUCAGCAUAGACUGUUUUCCUCAGACCGUGUCUCAGCAUGAUUGCUUCCCAUUUUGUGCCUCCCUGAGUGAUCAUUAAGGAAGGCGAUGUAGAUGUUUCAGAUUCUGAUGAUGAAGAUGAUAAUCUUCCUGCAAAUUUUGACACAUAUCACAGAGCCUUGCAAAUAAUAGCAAGAUAUGUACCAUCAUGAGUAUACUUUUCCUUAUUUUGAAUGUUUAAUUCUCAAGAAAAUUGUAAUCAAUUAGUAAAAAUUAUAAAAUGUUAAUAGUAUUAAAGCUUGAGUCUUACAUUGCAUUUUUUUUUUUGUAUCCACUUGAGGAAACAUUACAUUCUACAAAAAGUGGCAUUUCCAUUUUCUAUUUAUUCUCUUUAAUUGUUUUUCAAAGUUCGUAUGCAGAUUCUCCCCCAAUUUUGUAUGGUGGUUGGAAUUUUGUUUUUAUCUUCAACAGAUAUGCUAUCCAAAAUUUUUCAGUGAGAAACCCCUGGGUGUGUUUGUGUCAUGCCAUAUGAAUAAAAAUUGCACUUCUAAGAAAA